rnacentral:rRNA from 1 species
CUUGAACGCUGGCGGCAGGCCUAACACAUGCAAGUCGAACGAGUGGCGGACGGGUGAGUAAUGUCUGGGAAACUGCCCGAUGGAGGGGGAUAACUACUGGAAACGGUAGCUAAUACCGCCUACCAUCGGAUGUGCCCAGAUGGGAUUUGCUAGUAGGUGGGGUAACAGCUCACCUAGGCGACGAUCCCUAGCUGGGCUGAGAGGAUGACCAUCCAGACUGGAACUGAGACACGGUCCAGACUCAUACGGGAGGCAGCAGUGGGGAAGAUUGCACAAGGGGCGAAAGCCUGAUGCAGCAAUGCCGCGUGUAUGAAGAAGGCCUUCGGGUUGUAAAGUACUUUCAGCGAGGAGGCGUUACUCGCAGAAGAAGCACCGGCUAACUCCGUGCCAGCAGCCGCGGUAAUUC